UACGUAGGUGGCAAGCGUUGUCCGGAUUUACUGGGCGUAAAGCGUGCGUAGACGGUUAUUUAAGUCGGGUGUGAAAGCCCCGGGCUCAACCUGGGAAUUGCAUUCGAGACUGAAUAGCUAGGGUGCGGAAGAGGGAAGCGGAAUUUCCGGUGUAGCGGUGAAAUGCGUAGAUAUCGGAAGGAACACCAGUGGCGAAAGCGGCUUCCUGGUCCAGCACCGACGUCAGGCACGAAAGCGUGGGGAGCAAACAGG
rnacentral:rRNA from 1 species